AGUAACACGUGAGUAACCUGCCCUUAACUCUGGGAUAAGCCUGGGAAACUGGGUCUAAUACCGGAUAUGACUCCUCAUCGCAUGGUGGGGGGUGGAAAGCUUUUUUGUGGUUUUGGAUGGACUCGCGGCCUAUCAGCUUGUUGGUGAGGUAAUGGCUCACCAAGGCGACGACGGGUAGCCGGCCUGAGAGGGUGACCGGCCACACUGGGACUGAGACACGGCCCAGACUCCUACGGGAGGCAGCAGUGGGGAAUAUUGCACAAUGGGCGCAAGCCUGAUGCAGCGACGCCGCGUGAGGGAUGACGGCCUUCGGGUUGUAAACCUCUUUCAGUAGGGAAGAAGCGAAAGUGACGGUACCUGCAGAAGAAGCGCCGGCUAACUACGUGCCAGCAGCCGCGGUAAUACGUAGGGCGCAAGCGUUAUCCGGAAUUAUUGGGCGUAAAGAGCUCGUAGGCGGUUUGUCGCGUCUGCCGUGAAAGUCCGGGGCUCAACUCCGGAUCUGCGGUGGGUACGGGCAGACUAGAGUGAUGUAGGGGAGACUGGAAUUCCUGGUGUAGCGGUGAAAUGCGCAGAUAUCAGGAGGAACACCGAUGGCGAAGGCAGGUCUCUGGGCAUUAACUGACGCUGAGGAGCGAAAGCAUGGGGAGCGAACAGGAUUAGAUACCCUGGUAGUCCAUGCCGUAAACGUUGGGCACUAGGUGUGGGGGACAUUCCACGUUUUCCGCGCCGUAGCUAACGCAUUAAGUGCCCCGCCUGGGGAGUACGGCCGCAAGGCUAAAACUCAAAGU
rnacentral:rRNA from 1 species